rnacentral:rRNA from 1 species
UACGUAGGGUGCAAGCGUUGUCCGGAAUUAUUGGGCGUAAAGAGCUCGUAGGCGGUCUGUCGCGUCGGAUGUGAAAAUCCAGGGCUCAACCCUGGACCUGCAUUCGAUACGGGCAGACUAGAGUUCGGUAGGGGAGACUGGAAUUCCUGGUGUAGCGGUGAAAUGCGUAGAUAUCUGGAGGAACACCGGUGGCGAAGGCGGCAUCCUGGACCAACACUGACGCUGAGGAGCGAAAGCCAGGGGAGCAAACGGG